rnacentral:rRNA from 1 species
CCUACGGGGGGCAGCAGUAGGGAAUUUUCGUCAAUGGGCGCAAGCCUGAACGAGCGAUGCCGCGUGAGUGAAGAAGGCCUUCGGGUCGUAAAGCUCUGUUGCGGGGGAAAAAAGGCAGCAUCAGGAAAUGGGUGCUGACUGAUGGUGCCCCGCCAGAAAGUCACGGCUAACUACGUGCCAGCAGCCGCGGUAAUACGUAGGUGGCGGGCGUUAUCCGGAAUGAUUGGGCGUAAAGGGUGCGCAGGGGGUCCUGCAAGUCUGGGGUGAAACGGAUGAGCUAAACUCAUGCAUGGCUUUGGAAACGGGAGGACUGGAGAGCAGGGGAGGGCGGUGGAACUCCAGGUGUGGCGGUAAA